ACUAAAAGAUGCUCUCCCGAUUUCAUGCUUGACAAAACGUUUUGUUUGUGCCAAAAAAAAACAAAAAACUAAAAAGGGCAAUGCAGGAUGCAACGUCUGCGGCCAAGGUUGAGGAGAGUGGAGCUGCUUUGCACGAUGGACCUUCUUCUUUUUCGCCCUCGUGCAACCAACUAAAAGGCUGAUUGGACAUUGUCUUGCCUGCAAUAGAGCACAUCAAUCUCUUCGCGCCACCUACGACGAACUGCUUGACCUAAAGGCCCUCCAGCUAAGGUGGAUGACCUCGCAAUUCCAAGACUUGAGUCAAUGAAAGGAAUUGCAUAGUAUCCAUCUGCAAUCCGCCAGAUGUUUGGAUCAUAUAGGUGUUGAUAUGGGUUAAAUUGCAGCAGCACGGUGGGCUGUUUGUGGUUCGAAUCCAGGCUCAGGCUGUCCUGUGUGGUGUCUGCAUGUUUUCCUUAUGCUAGCAUGUUUUUUUUUGCCAAAAACUCUGGCUUCUUCCCUCAUCCCCAAAAAUGCAUGCUAGCUUCAUUAAAGACUCUAAAUUGAACAUAGGAAUGCAAUGUACCUGUCAACUGGAAUAGAUUUGAACUCAAUCGCGACCCUAACGCUAUAGAAAAUGGAGGAAUGAACGAGAUGGGUUAUAUACUGUUAACUGUGGUUCAUGUACUAGUAUGCUUUGUCCUCACUAGAAAGCACACUAGUGGAAUGACUGUGUGUCACUAGUUUUUCCCCCCCGAGUGCCAAUUGUGACCUACUACUAUGCAAUUAAACGUUACUAGUAAACUAUUGUGCUGCACUUCAGUAAUAACACUACAAGGCCCAACUAGUAGGCAUGUGUCACACACUAGUAGCCUCCUGGACCCUACUCGUAGUAACAAAAUGGCCACUAAUAGUUGUCCUACUAGUGAGGACAUAGAGCACAGGUGUCAAACUGGUGACAUCAUUUUAUGUGGCCCUCGAAAGCAAAUCAAAAUUGCUCAUUGUGUUCUGGUGUAAUAACAUUGAGAUAUUUGCAAGCAUUUUUUUGUUACCAAUCCCUCUUUGAAAAGAAAUGUAAUAGUUGAAAAACAUGUUUUUAUAGGCUUCUGAUUUCAAAACUGGCUAUUCAUCAAUGUGUUGUGUAAACUGUAUGUAAUUACAGUAUAGGGGGUCAUCUUUCAUUUAUAUGGGUUCACAGUUGUAGCGGCCCUCCGAGAGAAGUCAUAACUACAAUGUGGCCUGUGACAAAAAUGAGUUUGACACCCCUGACAUAGAGGAUGUAGUACAUGGACCUUAAGCUGGAUAUUGAAUAAAUCACAUGUAAAAGUCAACGCCCACGGUCCGAAUUGAGCCCGCCACGUCAUUUUCCGUA